AUUAGCUAAAGUUCCAAUUUGAUUUCACAAAUUGAAUUGACUUGCUCAACGAUAGUCAUCACAAACAGUCAAAGCGAUUUGUUUACCUAAUCAUAACUAAAUUUAAUUUAUUUAUCAAAUCUAAAUAAAUUACUUUGUUGAGUUUGUCGAAGUUUCAAAUGGAUUUAAUAAGCUGAUCCGAUUUACUCCACCAAGGUGCCCUUCACAAUUGUUUUAAAUCAACGAUUAAAUUGCCAAAACUCAAUGCAUCAAUUUUUAAUUUGAUCAAUAGAUUUUGGGCGCAAAACUUGACGACGUCAACAAUUUUGUUCUAUUCGAUCACUGCUUCUCCGCACAUUCUCAAACACAUUUAUGGUCACGUGAUAAACCCGGAAAGCAUAGUUUGCCAACGCUGUUUUAUUGUUUAGCAAUUAAUGAGCCCGUUUGUCGAGUGCUUCAAUCCCAAACUGCGUUAUUUGCUUAACGUUACUCUAACAUGUACCGUAGCAGACCUCAAUUUGACUAAAUGAGCGUACAAUAGUAACAAUCCAGUUGCGUACAACUAACAACUACUGCACACACAAAGCAAUUAUGGCGGAACUUCCAGAAAGUCCAAUUCAGUAUGACAAUCUCGGCACGUUAGCACAGCUUGUAAGCAACCUAACUAAAGUCCUCGUCCGGGUUUAUGCAGAAUCCGUCAAAGACGUUAGCCUUGAGGUCCUCAAUGCUAACAUAACGCAACUCAUGAGCGACGCCAAACACAAUACGCUAAAAGAUAAGAAUCUCGCUCAAACGCUUUUUUGAGUUGUUUUGAACUUAGUGUCACAAUUAAAAUGGAGUGAUGUGGAGGAUAUCCGAAUGAGAUUCAGGCUAGAAGCUGAACACAGAAACAAAUCAACUUAACGGCACAGGUAGCAGAGUCCACUCGUUUGAACCUUGCACAAGCCCGCCUAGUUGAUGUUGAAACUCAGCUUGAGGAUACGAAAGCACACAGUGUACACCUCACCUCCAAUGCCAUCACUGUCCAAGUGACGCUCUCCGUCGACAGUGUCGCACUGGCCCGUGAGAACAAGAAGCGCAAAGAAGUUCUUGCUUUGUGCGUACAGACUAACCGCACACAGGAAACAUUGUUGCAAACCACCGCAUCUGAAAUUUCACAACUCAAAAGCAAUCUGUCGGAGUUGACUGAUCACCCCUCAGAAUUCAAUUUACGUCAAACCAAAGCGGCUAACAAGCGCGCAGAGUGGUUUCUGCGUAACGCCACUGAGGACAUUAGGCAACUCAAACAGACUGUUGUAAUGCUCAAAGAUGAACGCUCCUAAAGCAUUGAGCACUCAUGUGAACUCAAGUCACAAUUGACAGCACUAGAAUCCAACAUGAGCCGCCUUCAACAGCUAAAGCCAGAACAAGAAAGCGAAUUAGUUCUUGUCCGGCGGCAACUACAAGCGGCCCGCCUACUAAUUGCCAACCGGCAACAGUACUCAAGGGUUCUUGCCACUGCUCCUUAUUUUGGCAUCACCAACUCGAGAGACAGGCGCGCCAGUUGCAGCUGACCUCUUGGACUCCAGCGCACCUCUCCUUUGUCCUGGCCCCUGUACAGCCAGCAAGUCUGUUUUCACAAGACACAGGAAACCUGUUUUAUAUCACCUGGGCCAUAAACUGAUCAAGAGUCCUCCUCCAGCCAUUCUUAAUGACUUCUCCAACAACGACCUUUUUAACAAGAACUGACUGAAUGACCAAGAAUUUGGGAAACCCCCUUUUUAAAUGUGACAGUUUGGGGCUAUUGUUGAAGAAUGGAACAUGACCACCCCCUAGUGGUGAUUAGAGACACUGCCUGUGGACAAUAAAAUGAAGAAAUCCCACGUUUGUAACAAACAAAACAAACCUUCAUGUAUAUUCUAAAUGUAUACCUUGAUAUCUGUGUCAUUAAUGUAUCAGUUUUACUGGUCUGGCUACGAGACUUUGAGAACUGCUCCGCUUGAUUGAAGCCAAACUAUGAAAUUAUGUUGUAUUGAACAAUAAGUAGUUGAACUGCCAAGACUAAAGUUUAAACAAUCAUUUUAUAUGUUUGAUCUUUGAAUGAGACAGUUUCAAAGUUGGGAAUCGAUUUUGUUUUUGUUUUUUAAUAUGCUGAGUCUCAACCCAUACUUAGGGCGUGACUCACGCAGAUAGAACAAAAUUUAACAUGAAAACGAUGGGUGUGGUCUUUUUCCUCCACCUUUGGAGGCACAAAAACCUUGACAUCCAUUCUUGUUUUUUUUCUGCUUGCUCUUUCUCUUCCUGGCUAACAUAUCUUCAGUUACGGAGCUUGGCUUUAGUCAAACCCUCCCCCAUUCCUUCCCCCCUUUUUCCUUUGUUGUGUCACCAUGUAGCGCGAGCGACCCCGGACCACGACGGUGGCGCUGUCCGAUUAAAGAAGCCUGCCCUGCGGCUUCUAUCUGUUUUCCCAGCCUUGACUUGUUCUCGGGCCUCAGGAGAGACACUCCUGGCGUUACUGUGAGUUAGGCCUGCAGCCUAGCACAAGAGCAUGGACCGCAACAAGUCUAAACGGCAGGAAAGGUUAUGAGCGCACCCCCCACGUGAAAAACAAUUUAUUUUUGCAUCUCUUCUGUUUUUACUUUUUGUGCAUCUUCUUCUUCAACUAAACUUUCCUCCGUUCCUUCUGAGAAAACUGAAAAAGACCAGAUCUACGAUCGUGAGUAAAACAUUGCAGUGAUUAUUUGAAAGUACAAAUUGGUGCAUAGUAACUUAGGGUUAUGUUUGCGAGCUCACACGAGUCCCAACUUUAUUCUCCCUCACUAUGAUUAAAUUAAUUUCAUGCUCACAUUACAAGUUCAGUCAUUCACCCUAUAUCUUUCCGUACGUUUGUCUGUAAUUUUUGUAGUAAAGUCACUUUAUAUUUGUCCCCGAAUUUCCCUGUAGUUUUCAUUAAAUUUUAUCUAAAAUUCCA